rnacentral:rRNA from 1 species
UACCAGCACCCCGAGUGGUCGGGACGUUUAUUGGGCCUAAAGCAUCCGUAGCCGGUUCUACAAGUCUUCCGUGAAAUCCAACUGCUUAACAGGUGGGCUGCGGAAGAUACUAUAGAGCUAGGAGGCGGGAGAGGCAAGCGGUACUCGAUGGGUAGGGGUAAAAUCCGUUGAUCCAUUGAAGACCACCAGUGGCGAAGGCGGCUUGCCAGAACGCGCUCGACGGUGAGGGAUGAAAGCUGGGGGAGCAAACCGG